rnacentral:rRNA from 1 species
AUUGAACGCUGGCGGCAGGCCUAACACAUGCAAGUCGAGCGGCAGCGGGAAAGUAGCUUGCUACUUUUGCCGGCGAGCGGCGGACGGGUGAGUAAUGCCUGGGAAAUUGCCCAGUCGAGGGGGAUAACAGUUGGAAACGACUGCUAAUACCGCAUACGCCCUACGGGGGAAAGCAGGGGACCUUCGGGCCUUGCGCGAUUGGAUAUGCCCAGGUGGGAUUAGCUAGUUGGUGAGGUAAUGGCUCACCAAGGCGACGAUCCCUAGCUGGUCUGAGAGGAUGAGCAGCCACACUGGAACUGAGACACGGUCCAGGCUCCUACGGGAGGAAGCAGUGGGGAAUAUUGCACAAUGGGGGAAACCCUGAUGCAGCCAUGCCGCGUGUGUGAAGAAGGCCUUCGGGUUGUAAAGCACUUUCAGCGAGGAGGAAAGGUUGAUGCCUAAUACGUAUCAACUGUGACGUUACUCGCAGAAGAAGCACCGGCUAACUCCGUGCCAGCCGCCGCCGUAAGAC